rnacentral:lncRNA from 1 species
GUUGUCUUUACAUUUAUUUGAAAGCAGGUAGAAUAUUGAUUUGUAUAAACCUUUAAAGUUGUAUUUCCCAAAUCAAAACCUGUUUAGGUAAUUAAUUAUUUUAUUUGAUUGUGCAAUAGAUAGUUUUAAGGCUAUAAUUGCAGGUUUUGGUCGGAAAGCUUGACGAGUCAUUAUGGGCACGAAGUUUUGGAAUUUUUGUUCAGUGUUUCUUUGAACAUGUGUUGUUUUUUAACGUUUUUAAUUUGAUUGAUUUGAUUUGGUUGUGCAAUAGAUAGUUCUAAGGCUAUUAUUGCAGGUUUUGGGAUAGCUUGGUGUGUCAUUUUGGCUCCAAGCCUUGUUGUUUUUAUAAGUUUUGUUGGUUUAAUUAUGGCGUGCUUUGAACACGUGUUUUUUCACUUAAAAAAAUAAAACGUUGGUAUUAUUUCUUUGGUUUAAGCAAUGCAUUGGAUAAUUUAAAGACUAUAUUGCAGGCUUUGGAUUGCUUAGCAGAUUUUGUUAAAUCGUGAGUUUCGGCGUGUUUUUGAAGAUCUUUGAACACGCGGUAUUAAUUUUUUACUUAUUUUUUGGUUUUGUGGAUUUUCAGGGUGUGUUUUGUAAAGCUCUUUUAUGCGUUUUGUGAGAGUGUAUGGGUCUUGAGUAACUUUUUAGCUCACCUGGCCCGAAAGGCCAAGUGAGCUUUUCCCAUCACUUUGCGUCCGUCGUCCGUCGUCGUUAACUUUUACAAAAAUCUUCUCCUCUGAAACUACUUGGCCAAAUUAAACCAAACUUGGCCACAA